GGAAGAAUAAGAAGAAAAAGUGAAACUAGUAAGAGAACAAGGAGAGUCGUUAGAAAGGAAAUAGAAAAAGGGAAAUAAAAGAAGGAAUAAAUGAAUGAAAAAGAAACCAAUGGAGAAUGGGAAUAUCCUGAAACCACAAAUAUUUAUUGGAUUAAAGGGAAUAAGGAAUAAACUAAAUUGGAAGAAAGAUUUUAAAAUAUUAACAAUCAUUUGCUACUUAUUAUUUCCAGCUUUGAAUAAUAAAUGAGACAUAGGCAGUUUGAUGUCAAUAAACAGACCACUGAUAAUAAUAAUUAUCCCAGAAGAACACUGUGAGAAUACACUCAUAAUAUGGGCAUGCAUCACUUAUAGAAGUGAAUAUGUUUUGAAAAUGCUUAUUGAACAAUUUUGCCAUUAUGAGAGCAUUACAGAGUAUACUUACACAAACUAAUAUGAUUAUGAUGUCACUAGAUGAUAGAAUCUCAUAGAACCAUGGUCAUGUAGAUGAUCUGCCAUUGGUACAUUGCAC
rnacentral:lncRNA from 1 species